rnacentral:rRNA from 1 species
UACGUAGGAGGCGAGCGUUGUCCGGAUUUACUGGGCGUAAAGCGUGCGCAGGCGGUUAUGUAAGACAGGUGUGAAAUCCCCGGGCUUAACCUGGGAACUGCAUUUGUGACUGCAUAGCUAGAGUACGGUAGAGGGGGAUGGAAUUCCGCGUGUAGCAGUGAAAUGCGUAGAUAUGCGGAGGAACACCGAUGGCGAAGGCAAUCCCCUGGACCUGUACUGACGCUCAUGCACGAAAGCGUGGGGAGCAAACAGG